UCAGUUCUCCACUCUGCUCAGAGAGGUUUCUCUCUGAGUAGUUUUCUCAUCUUCUCAAAAACCUUUAUUUCAUUAUAUUUUUUUUAGUAGUCUCUAAUUACCAUGAGAAGAUCUCUUGAGCUACAACCUCGCUAUAACUAUUAUAAGCUUGAGAAUGGAAUAAAGUUAGUUGUUGUUGUUGUU